GGUAUUUUUAAGUAAAAGUCGUCCUUGUUUUAUUUUCGAUAAAUAACACAUAUGUGUUUAGAAAAACACGAUACGUUCGUAUAUGUUUAUAUCACAUUAAACGCACGCAUAAUUCUUGGUAGUAAGACAAAAUAUUAUAAAAGAGUAAAAAUGCAACAGCAACAAAGGUUAGGACAUUAUCACCAAAAGGACACCAUAAUUUCAGUUAAGAACAGAGACAUAAGGUACAAACAGAACAAUCAGAAUUAUAAAGUCUUAGAAAAAAAGACAGCACCAUAGCCAAUCAGAAAGAAAAGACUUACAUCAUUCUAUAAAGCAUUGAACAGAAAACGUAGGAAUUAGCAGCAACAUUCACACUUACUCAGAGUCGGGAGAAUACUGGAACACCUAAAAGAAUGUUAAAUUGAAAUAUUGCAGCGCAAAUAGCAUCCUUUCGAUUGUUUAUAACAAGAACAAAGUUCUAUGAAUAAACUCAUCAUAGAUACCAGGA
rnacentral:lncRNA from 1 species